GAAUUUAAGUAUGAGUGACUCCAUUUUGGAACAACUCUGUGGGGCUGCUUGGAAGCCCCCGGAGAGAAGCCUGAGCUGCAUCUCACCGUGUGUUUCAUCCAUGGCGUGCUCCCAGCUCUAGCGUGCGUGGAGAGAGGUCAUGGAGUGUGGUUGCUUUACUUUCUACAAAAGUUCCGAAAGCAGGAGCCCACUGGUACUAUGAUUCAUGGUGAAACAAAAUGAAUAGAAUCAUACCAGAUCUGUGAUCAGUUUCAGCAGAAUAUACAUCAUCAUGAAGUCCCCAGGAGAGGUGAACAAGGAAGGAAUGCUCUCCUCACGUUUCUGGAAGUUCCCUGAGGCCCUGCCCAGCUUCUCUUUGGUGAUAGGUGAGACCCAGGUGCAGCAGCCCAGCCGUGCUGGGGGGGACUCGGCCUGAGCAGAAGGCAGCAAGAGGAACCUGGGUCCACCCUUCUGUCCUAGUCCAUUAGUGCUGUUACAACAACAUACCCGAGAAUGGAUAAUUUAUAAACAGCAGGAAUUUAUUUCUUAUACUUCUGGAGGCUGAGAAGUCCAAGAUCACUGCACCAGCAGAUCGGGUGUCUGGUGGGA
rnacentral:lncRNA from 1 species